rnacentral:lncRNA from 1 species
AAGAUAAACAGAAUGAUGCAUAGUGUGCAUGAUCUGGCCCAGCCUUUGUCUCUUGGCUUCAUUUAUUAUGUCUCACUCUGUGCUCUAGCUUUGUAGGUUUUGAAAGCGUCACGCCUUCUUCCUCCAGAUCCCUCGCACAUGCUGUUCCCUCAUCUUGAAGUGUCCUUCUGCCAUUUAUAAGGACCUGAUGAUUGAUUUAGCAUCUUUGGCAUCCGGCCACUGCUCUGCUUGGCCAUACUGCUGCCUUCACCCUCAGCUGUUGCAACUCUUUUGGCCACUUUGUGUAACUGCCCUGCCAAGCCCUGCUUCCUGGCUGUCCAAAGAAAGAAGUGUUUCCUACAGGAGAUCACAACAAAAGGAUGAAAUCUGGGGUGCAGGGGAAGGGUAGCUUCUGAAGCUGGAAAAUAAAGAAGAUCAAGUUCAGAUGGCUUACGGUUGAGAUACAUGUUGCUAUGGCAGCAGGAAGAAAAUGAUGGAAAAGAAGAAAACAAAAAGCAAGAAAAAGUGAGAAAUCAAAGGACAACAUUUUCAAGGAUGAAGAGUGCUACAUCUAUUCAUUAUACAUUGUAGAUAUAGAUAAUAACAAUAGUAAUAAUGUGGUCAAAUUUUAAUAAAUAAAAAAUUGAGUUAAGC